AUCCCGUGUUGAGGGCAACUACGAUGUAACUCCUUGAAUCUUUCCCAUUGCUCAUAUAAGGAUUCAACAUCUAUUUUUUGAAAAGUUGUGAUCACAUUCCGCAACU
rfam:Gossypium arboreum cultivar AKA8401 contig_51013_1, whole genome shotgun sequence.